GUAGGUGAACCUGCGGAAGGAUCAUUCUUGUAUUAUCUAGUAUAGUUUAUUGCUCAGGCAAUUUACUUUCUACUAUGUGAACAGUGCAUUUACUUGAUUGCAACAAUGCAAAUAUUUUUUGUGUUGAUUGUGAUUGGGAAAAAUUCAAAACAAAUUUAACAUAUGAAUACUAUAUAUUUACAAUUGUCUUAACAUAACAACAACAAUUAAAAAAUACAACUUUUAGCAACGGAUCUCUAGGCUCUCGCAU
rnacentral:misc_RNA from 1 species